AUGAUAGUGGCUGCUGGUACAUUUUUACAGCAAUAACAGUACUCAUACUAAUUAUAUCUUGGAUAUAUUAAACCCGACGUGAUGUGACGGCGCAGCAAUACAGUGGUUCAAGAAGAGGAUGAAAAGAAGUAGUUAGGUAGCGUGAAGAACCUCAGGGUUGGAGCAGCCUAGUAGCUUCUGCUGUUGCUUAUUCAUGAAGCUUCUAGAGCGCCACAUCAAAACUAGUUAAACGGAGUGGAAUGUGCAUGUAACUGGUUCGAAAAUAGUAAUAAAACAACUAAUUUAAAAACUUUUAAUUUCGUAAAACGUCUGAAACGUAACGUUGAGUGAGAAACUGAAGUAAGGACUGUAGACUCAUACAUUGCUGCGAUACGUACACGUUUGACUGUCUUGUCAGUUAUUCAUAUUCUAAAUAUGAAUGAAAAUAGAAUGCAUUUAUAACGUCGACAGUGAGGACAAACAUCAUUAGUGACAGAAACCUGUACCAUAGUAUACCCUUUCGAUAUCAAUAAAUCAAAAAACCAGGAAAAUACGCCUUGAGAGUGCCCAUAAGCAUCUCAGGUUUAAGUGUGUAUCAGCCGUGUAGUAAGAGAAAUCGUGGAGGUGAAGGUUUUCGUGACGGGCUUGGCCAGAAGUGUAGCCGAGAUGGGGUGCACAAUGUCCAUGGAAGAAAAGGCAGCCUUGGCCAAGAGCCGGGAGAUUGACCGAGCUCUCUUUUUCGCUGCCGAGAGCGCUGCCCGGGACGUCAAGCUUCUUCUUUUGGCGAUUUCCAUCUGUUGAGGUCUGAAGAAGUUCAUAGAAGGACAGUUUCUACACAUGAUGUGAUGACAACUGUUCGACGAUGGCUACUUACUUGGCCGACAGAAUUUCUAUGUGGAAGGCUUAAACAAACUAGUAGGACUUUGUGGUAAGUGUCGUUUUGUGAUUGUCGGAACCAGUGAACAAUAUUCAAUACGACUAAGUUGUAUUUUAGUCAAGAAAAAAUAUUGGAUACAAUCACUUUUCGAUCUGCCCUCGCAUAUGUAUAGGUAUAUAUUUAU